UAUUUUAAAUAAUGAUAAAGAUAGCUUAGGUAAUUUGAUGCUAAAUUUGAUGAAGCUAUCUUUCUUGACUAUUUCACUUUUAGCAAAGCUUUUAGAGUAUUUAAUAAAAGAAUACUAGUAGUGGAAGAGUCAAUUUGUAGUUUUUGAUGAAACUAAAGAUUUUCCAUCAAAAAAGAGAGAGGGUGCUGAUGAUGCAGGUAUCAUAGA
rnacentral:lncRNA from 1 species